rnacentral:rRNA from 1 species
UCUUAUGAAGUUAGCGGCGGACGGGUGAGUAACACGUGGGUAACCUACCCAUAAGACUGGGAUAACUCCGGGAAACCGGGGCUAAUACCGGAUAAUAUUUUGAACUGCAUAGUUCGAAAUUGAAAGGCGGCUUCUGCUGUCACUUAUGGAUGGACCCGCGUCGCAUUAGCUAGUUGGUGAGGUAACGGCUCACCAAGGCGACGAUGCGUAGCCGACCUGAGAGGGUGAUCGGCCACACUGGACUGAGACACGGCCCAGACUCCUACGGGAGGCAGCAGUAGGGAAUCUUCCGCAAUGGACGAAAGUCUGACGGAGCAACGCCGCGUGAGUGAUGAAGGCUUUCGGGUCGUAAAACUCUGUUGUUAGGGAAGAACAAGUGCCUAGUUCAAU